CAGCAGUCGCCGCGGGAAUACAGAGGGUGCAAGCGUUAAUCGGAUUUACUGGGCGUAAAGGGCGCGUAGGUGGUUAUAUAAGUGAGGUGUGAAAGCCCCGGGCUUAACCUGGGAACUGCAUCUUAAACUAUGUAACUGGAGUGCGAUAGAGGGUAGUGGAAUUUCCGGUGUAGCGGUGAAAUGCGUAGAGAUCGGGAGGAACAUCAGUGGCGAAGGCGGCCAUCUGGGACAACACUGACGCUGAGGCACGAAAGCGUGGGGAGCAAACAGGAUUAGAGACCCCUGUAGUCCCUGUCUCUUAUAC
rnacentral:rRNA from 1 species